rnacentral:rRNA from 1 species
AUCUACUCUGUCGUGGGGGAUAACGUAGGGAAACUUACGCUAAUACCGCAUACGACCUACGGGUGAAAGCAGGGGAUCUUCGGACCUUGCGCGAUUGAAUGAGCCGAUGUCGGAUUAGCUAGUUGGCGGGGUAAAGGCCCACCAAGGCGACGAUCCGUAGCUGGUCUGAGAGGAUGAUCAGCCACACUGGAACUGAGACACGGUCCCAGACUCUUACGGGAGGCAGCAGUGGGGAAUAUUGGACAAUGGGCGCAAGCCUGAUCCAGCCAUACCGCGUGGGUGAAGAAGGCCUUCGGGUUGUAAAGCCCUUUUGUUGGGAAAGAAAUCCAGCUGGCUAAUACCCGGUUGGGAUGACGGUACCCAAAGAAUAAGCACCGGCUAACUUCGUGCCAGCAGCCGCGGUAAUACGAAGGGUGCAAGCGUUACUCGGAAUUACUGGGCGUAAAGCGUGCGUAGGUGGUCGUUUAAGUCCGUUGUGAAAGCCCUGGGCUCAACCUGGGAACUGCAGUGGAUACUGGGCGACUAGAGUGUGGUAGAGGGUAGCGGAAUUUCCUGGUGUAGCAGUGAAAUGCGUAGAGAUCAGGGGAACAUCCAUGGCGAAGGCAGCUACCUGGACCAACACUGACA